UCUGCGGUCUGCCGCCUGUGGAGAAAUGAAGGGCCGCCGCUGGACACGUUUCCCUCCAUUAAAAAAAACACCAUGUGAGAAAACGCCAAGAGGCCGAGGCCCAUUAAUGCUGCUCGCUCUGCCAGGGGCCGGACUACACAGAACACAUUCAUGUUAACAAGUGACCGAGUCCAGUGGGGACUGAAGUCCGGAUUUCUUAAAACAAAUAAAGAGCGCCCGGCAGAUGAGAUCAUUCCACUUCUACUUCCAGAGCACAAGCUGAUUCAAAAAUGGUGAUGGGGAAGAAUGACACCAAAUCUUAUCAGUGGAAGUGAGGCGUGGCCAUUUUCUAGAAGCUGCUGGCACACCCGGCUGUCAUUAAAAGGUCAUAAGUCAUCUUAGGUAAAUAGCGACACAUCAAGUGAGCAGGAUAUUAAAUUAGCAAGACAAUAAUGUCCCAAAA